rnacentral:lncRNA from 1 species
AGAAAUGGAGAAACAGUCUUUCCCAGGCAAGCAAUAACAAAGGAAACUCAUUGACAUAUAUUGGCCUUAUAUUAAAUACUUAAGGGAGUCAAGUAUAUAACAAUUCUAAAUAUAUAUGCACCCAACAUCUGAGUAACGAGAUAUGUGUAUGAAUGUUUUUUUGGCUGAGGCCACUAGAACUGCAGUUUUUGCUCUUCCCUGAUUACACAGUUUGUUUGUUUUUUUUUUUUUUGCAGACAAGGUCUCAUUCUGUCACCCAGGCUGGAAUGUAGUGGCAUGAUCAUAGCCUACUGCAGCCUUGACCUCCUGGGCUCAAGGGAUCCUCCCACCUCAGCCUCCAAAGUAGCUAUGACUACCGGCAUGAGCCACCAUGCCUUAUUUUUGAGUGUGUGUGUGUGUGUGUGUGUGUGUGUGUGUGUGUGUGUGUGUGUGUGUGUGAUGGAGAUGAGGUAUCCCUACAUUGCCCUGACUGGUCUCUAACUUCUGGCUUCAAGCGAACCUCUUGCUUCAGCCUCCCAAAAUGCUGGGAUUACAG